rnacentral:rRNA from 1 species
UACGUAGGAGGCGAGCGUUGUCCGGAGUUACUGGGCGUAAAGCGCACGCAGGCGGUCUGUCGCGUUGCCACUGACAGUUUGUGGCUCAACUACAAAAGGCGUGACAAAACGGACAGACUUGAGGGCUUCAGAGGAAGAGAGAAUUCCGGGUGGAGUGGUGAAAUGCGUAGAGAUUAGGAAGAACACCAGUGGCGAAGGCGGCUUUCUGGACUGUAACUGACGCUGAGGCAUGAAAGCGUGGGGAGCAAACAGG